AACGAACGCUGGCGGCAGGCUUAACACAUGCAAGUCGAGCGCCCCGCAAGGGGAGCGGCAGACGGGUGAGUAACGCGUGGGAAUCUACCGUGCCCUGCGGAAUAGCUCCGGGAAACUGGAAUUAAUACCGCAUACGCCCUUCGGGGGGAAAGAUUUAUCGGGGUAUGAUGAGCCCGCGUUGGAUUAGCUAGUUGGUGGGGUAAAGGCCUACCAAGGCGACGAUCCAUAGCUGGUCUGAGAGGAUGAUCAGCCACAUUGGGACUGAGACACGGCCCAAACUCCUAUGGGAGGCAGCAGUGGGGAAUAUUGGACAAUGGGCGCAAGCCUGAUCCAGCCAUGCCGCGUGAGUGAUGAAGGCCCUAGGGUUGUAAAGCUCUUUCACCGGUGAAGAUAAUGACGGUAACCGGAGAAGAAGCCCCGGCUAACUUCGUGCCAGCAGCCGCAGUAA
rnacentral:rRNA from 1 species